GACGAACGCUGGCGGCGUGCUUAACACAUGCAAGUCGAGCGGUAAGGCCCUUUCGGGGGUACGACGAGCGGCGAACGGGUGAGUAACACGUGGGUGACCUGCCUUUAGCUCUGGGAUAAGCCUGGGAAACUGGGUCUAAUACCGGAUAUGACCCUAUGGCGCAUGUUGUGGGGUGGAAAGCCUUGUGCGGCUAGGGAUGGGCCCGCGGCCUAUCAGCUUGUUGGUGGGGUGAUGGCCUACCAAGGCGACGACGGGUAGCCGGCCUGAGAGGGCGACCGGCCACACUGGGACUGAGACACGGCCCAGACUCCUACGGGAGGCAGCAGUGGGGAAUCUUGCGCAAUGGGCGAAAGCCUGACGCAGCGACGCCGCGUGAGGGAUGACGGCCUCGG
rnacentral:rRNA from 1 species